rnacentral:tRNA from 1 species
GCCCGGGUGGUGGAACUGGUAGACACACCAUCUUGAGGGGGUGGCGGCGCAGGCCAUGCGGGUUCGAGUCCCGCCCCGGGCA